rnacentral:rRNA from 1 species
CUCCCAGACUCCUACGGGAGGCAGUAGUGGGGAAUAUUGCACAAUGGGGGAAACCCUGAUGCAGCGACGCCGCGUGGGCGAGGAAGUACCUCGGUAUGUAAAGCCCUAUCAGCAGGGAAGGAACAGGACAGUACCUGACUAAGAAGUCCCGGCUAACUACGUGCCAGCAGCCGCGGUAAUACGUAGGGGGCAAGCGUUAUCCGGAUUUACUGGGUGUAAAGGGGGCGCAGACGGCAAUGCAAGCCAGGAGUGAAAGCCCGGGGCCCAACCCCGGGACUGCUCUUGGAACUGCAUGGCUGGAGUACAGGAGGGGCAGGCGGAAUUCCUAGUGUAGCGGUGAAAUGCGUAGAUAUUAGGAGGAACACCGGUGGCGAAGGCGGCCUGCUGGACUGUGACUGACGUUGAGGCCCGAAGGCGUGGGGAGCAAACAGGAUUAGAUACCCCAGUACGC